GCAGGUUCUGGCUUUGCUGUGACUGCUGCUAUUGAGACUUACUCAUAGGUCAAAAAGCUACUUAUCUGAGCACUUUCACUUAAAACAGAUUAAUUUAUUUGCUGUAUCUGAAAGUUUGCUAAGUAAUUGGGUGGUUUUAAUGGAAGUUACUGCUUUCUGAUCCUUGUAUUAACAUGAUCUAAGGUCCUUUUUAUUAUACGCAAUCCAUAUUAUUGACCACAGUUGCCCUGUUUUCAUUUAAAUGUAAGCAGCUUGUCAAGUAGAAAAUAUUUCAUUUAACUUGGCUUGGAAACCUGCUAUUUUAAUAUGUAUAAGUUUUUUUUUUUCAAUUGACAGACUGUCUUUUAAACAUAUGUUUAUUUUGUAGUAAUAAAUUGUGUUCUGAAUAGAGUAUUUUCUCAUAAUAAAGUAAAAAUAUAUGUUCUUAAAACUAUUUUAAAAUAGUAAAUGUUUUUCAAAAGUUAAUGUCAAAAUACAAGAGUUUUUACUCCUAAUUUUAUUCAUGUUUUAAAUUUCUUUGAGUAUAUUACUACUGAUCCUAACUUUG
rnacentral:lncRNA from 1 species